UCCCUGCGCGCUCGCCCCGAGGUUCUGCGCGCUCCUCUCCUUUGUUCGGGGACCCGCCGGGCACGUCCCGCACCGCGGCCGGGCUGCGGAUUUCGGAGUUUGCGGAUGUCCGCGCGCGGGUCGCAGAGAUCCCGGGGCGAUCCCGAGGUCUCUGGGUGACCGCUGGACCCCAGCCUUAGGUUGAACCCCUGUCUAUAAAGUGACCAAUCCAAAGGUGGUUAGGACCGCAGUGUUACCGAGUGGCCCAGCGCUGUGGUCUAAAAUCCUGUUUGACAGCGAGUGAACUGAAAGCCAGAAUGGGAAAUGGCCAAGCUGGAUCUUUAGAGGCACCUUCUGUGCCAGGCACUGCCUAGGCACUGAACUCAGAGUGAUCAAGAGAGGGGCUCUCAGAGGAACUGAGACUCUAGCAGCCAACCAGCAUGAUCACAUGAGUAAUUACAAACAGGGGUAAAUGCGCCUGACACAUCGGCCUGUACAGAUUUUCACCAACCCCCAAGAUGGAAGCAUCUCUUACAGCUAACCAGCACUGGGAGUGCUUCCUACAAGCACAGAAGCUAAUUUUGUUAAAUCAACUCUACUACUUUAUUGCUGCAGUAAAACUUUCCUAAAAACUUCAGAGGCACAAAUUCCUGCCGUGUUACAAAGCCAAUUAUCCAAUUUAGAAACGGGGGCUUUUACCGGAAGACCCUGUUGCCAAGUUCUGUGGAGAUGCAGAAGAAGGGAAGGGAGGACAUUCGAGGCUUAAAAGAGACUUGUUUUCCUCCUGAUAUCCCUGCACCACAAAGUGAAAGAGGCAGGACAGAUGUGAUGAAUGACACCUGGUAUUUUAUUCCCUUUCUUCCAAUUGCCCUAAGUUAAAUGAUUUCUAGUAAAUUAAUGCUGAACAGGUGUUACAGGAGUCACUUCAAAAUGACAAAACCCCAGCUGGACACUUUGGCCAGCAAAAAGCAGAGGGUUUGGCUUGAGCUCCUUGUGCCACAGCCAAUAAAUGAAAAUUUUACACAAUACUAAUAUUCUCCACGUGGAUUUAGGGGGAGAAAACAGAAAACUUUAUAUUGAAUGGGGGGCGUCUAAGAAGGAGAAUCCACUUGUGCCGCUGACAUGGGCAGGAUGGAUUUUUUUAAAUUGCACAUACAAUGUUUAUUUAACAUGUUUUCGUAUUUCUUAAAGCAUGGAUUUUUGAUUGCCCAUCGAGCUUGUAUCUUUUUACUAAUGGUUUUCAUUGUUUCUAGUACAGAAUAAAUUUCCAAGAAAUUUAUCUUGGGAAAGGAGUGACUC